rnacentral:lncRNA from 1 species
GGCGAGGACGUGGUUAGGGCUCUUCUUGCCAGCAGCGCCGGCCUACCCCUGGAAGAUGCAAGCCCUGUCACAGAUGCUUGCGGCUGGAUGCCCACAGCAAGAGCUUGGCCACAUGGUGACUGGCUUGAGGGGGUGGACAGGAGUAGGUGUCGCGCCCGAUGAUAGGACACUGAACGCUAGCUGAGAGCGGCUACAUACGUCUCUUAUUCCGAUGCUUGCAGAUCUGCAACUGGCCGUGUUGGCCACGGAGUAGGCGGCCUGGAGCGCAUGCGUAGCGAGCGAGAGGGUGGCGCAAGAAGAUCACGUUCCGGCUUACAUGUUGCCAAAGAGUUUUAUGCAGUGCUCGUAUCUUAAGAAGGCAGGGGCGGCGCCAGUGACAGGUGCUUGCAAAGAGGCAUCUUUGAUUUUCAGAAACCCGCUGCCGCCGCAUCUUUCAUCCCCAAAAUGUUUCCGGGGGCUCCGCCCCCAACCUAUGCACGGUUCGUGUCAGGCCAGGGGUGUGUCAGGCUGGUACUGAGCAACCGGUGUAAUGUCAAACAAGCUUGUCGUUUUGCAAAUGCGGCUGCAAUUGCCCCCAGCCCACGUUUCGGCUCCGGCACUGCAAAAUAUUCUGCCACACCGCAUGUGCCACUGUUACAGCGUGCGGGGUGAGGUUGCUGUUGCCCCCAGCCCAC